GGCGGCGUGGCGGAAUGGUAGACGCGAGGGACUUAAAAUCCCUUUCCCAUGGAGUGUGGGUUCGAGUCCCACCGCCGCUACCA
rnacentral:tRNA from 1 species